UACGGAGGGAGCUAGCGUUGUUCGGAAUUACUGGGCGUAAAGCGCACGUAGGCGGCUUUGUAAGUUAGAGGUGAAAGCCCCGGGGCUCAACUCCGGAACUGCCUUUAAGACUGCAUUCGCUUGAAUCCAGGAGAGGUGAGUAGAAUUCCGAGUGUAGAGGUGAAAUUCGUAGAUAUCGGAAGAACACCAGUGGCGAAGGCGGCUCACUGGAC
rnacentral:rRNA from 1 species